rnacentral:rRNA from 1 species
CCCUUAGAUGCUCUGGGCCGCACGCGCGCUACACUGGUCGAUGCAACGAGUUUCUUUCCUUGGCCGACAGGCCUGGGCAAUCUUUGAAUCUGCAUCGUGACGGGGAUAGAUUAUUGCAAUUAUUAAUCUUCAACGAGGAAUGCCUAGUAGGCGCAAGUCAUCAGCUUGCGUCGAUUACGUCCCUGCCCUUUGUACACACCGCCCGUCGCUCCUACCGAUUGGGUGUGCUGGUGAAAUGUUCGGAUCGGCCGUUUGUCGCGGUUUCCGCGUCAUGUGGCUGAGAAGUUCAUUAAACCCUCCCACCUAGAGGAAGGAGAAGUCGUAACA